rnacentral:rRNA from 1 species
CCUACGGGUUGCAGCAGUGGGGAAUCUUAGACAAUGGGCGCAAGCCUGAUCUAGCCAUGCCGCGUGAGUGAAGAAGGCCUUAGGGUCGUAAAGCUCUUUCGCCAGAGAUGAUAAUGACAGUAUCUGGUAAAGAAACCCCGGCUAACUCCGUGCCAGCAGCCGCGGUAAUACGGAGGGGGUUAGCGUUGUUCGGAAUUACUGGGCGUAAAGCGCACGUAGGCGGAUCAGAAAGUUGGGGGUGAAAUCCCAGGGCUCAACCCUGGAACGGCCUCCAAAACUCCUGGUCUUGAGUUCGAGAGAG